rnacentral:rRNA from 1 species
ACGGAGGGUGCAAGCGUUGUCCGGAAUCACUGGGUGUAAAGGGUGUGUAGGCGGGACCGUAAGUCAGAGGUGAAAUCCUGCAGCUCAACUGUAGAACUGCCUUUGAUACUGCGGCUCUUGAAUCUCGGAGAGGUCAUUAGAAUUCGUGGUGUAGCGGUGAAAUGCGUAGAUAUCACGAGGAAUACCAGAGGCGUAGGCGGAUGACUGGACGAGUAUUGACGCUGAGGCACGAAAGCGUGGGGAGCAAACAGG